GGAAAUGCGUCAUUAGCUCAGUUGGGAGAGCACCUGCCUUACAAGCAGGGGGUCACAGGUUCAAGUCCUGUUGUUUCCACCA
rnacentral:tRNA from 1 species